UCUUGGUCAUUUAGAGGAAGUAAAAGUCGUAACAAGGUUUCCGUAGGUGAACCUGCGGAAGGAUCAUUACAGAAAUAAACACGCCUCGGCUGUUGCUGGCUUCUAGGAGUACUGUGCACGCCUGGCAACGUUUUUCUCUUUGACCACCUGUGCACCUUUUGUAGACUUGAAAGCAUUAUUUAUCGAGGAUUAACUCGGUUUUAGAGGAUUGCAAUGCGAAAGCUUGCUUUCCUUGUGGAUUUGCCUGUACAAGUCUAUGUAUUUUUAUUAUACCCCUUAAACAGUAACAGGAAUGUAUAACUUAAUUGGCCUCUUGUGCCUUUAAUCUAAAAUACAACUUUCAACAACGGAUCUCUUGGCUCUCGCAUCGAUGAAGAACGCAGCGAAAUGCGAUAAGUAAUGUGAAUUGCAGAAUUCAGUGAAUCAUCGAAUCWUUGAACGCACCUUGCGCUCCUUGGAAUUCCGAGGAGCAUGCCUGUUUGAAUGUCAUUAAAUUCAAUCCUUACUUAUCUUCUUUGUUAACUUGCUGUAGGUUCUUGGAUUGUGGGGGUGUUUKCCUGCUCUUACAAAGWCUGCUCCUCUUAAAAGCAUUAGCAGAGGCCGUUUGGCGAUUCUGGUGUGAUAAUUAUCUACGCCACAGUUGACCAUACUUUAAAGGACCUUGCUUAUAAUUGUCCUCAAGGGACUAUCUUUGAACAGCUUGACCUCAAAUCAGGUAGGAUUACCCGCUGAACUUAAGCAUAUCAAUAAGCGGAGGAAAAGAAACUAACAAGGAUUCCCCUAGUAACUGCGAGUGAAGCGGGAAAAGCUCAAAUUUAAAAUCUGGUAGUCUAUGACUGCCCGAGUUGUAAUCUAGAGAAGCAUUAUCCGCGCUGGACCGUGUACAAGUCUCCUG
rnacentral:rRNA from 1 species